CAAACCAAAGCUGGCGACCGGCGCACGGGUGAGUAACACGUAUCCAACCUGCCUCAUACUCGGGGAUAGCCUUUCGAAAGAAAGAUUAAUAUCCGAUAGCAUAUAUUUCCCGCAUGGGUUUUAUAUUAAAGAAAUUCGGUAUGAGAUGGGGAUGCGUUCCAUUAGUUUGUUGGGGGGUAACGGCCUACCAAGACUACGAUGGAUAGGGGUUCUGAGAGGAAGGUCCCCCACAUUGGAACUGAGACACGGUCCAA
rnacentral:rRNA from 1 species